CAGUAGCCGCGGUAAUACGUAGGGUGCAAGCGUUAAUCGGAAUUACUGGGCGUAAAGCGUACGCAGGCGGUUAUAUAAGACAGAUGUGAAAUCCCCGGGCUCAACCUGGGAACUGCAUUUGUGACUGUAUAGCUAGAGUACGGCAGAGGGGGAUGGAAUUCCGCGUGUAGCAGUGAAAUGCGUAGAUAUGCGGAGGAACACCGAUGGCGAAGGCAAUCCCCUGGGCCUGUACUGACGCUCAUGCACGAAAGCGUGGGGAGCAAACAGGAUUAGAUACCCCCGUAGUCCCUGUCUCUUAUAC
rnacentral:rRNA from 1 species